rnacentral:rRNA from 1 species
AUUGAACGCUGGCGACAGGCCUAACACAUGCAAGUCGAGCGCGAAAGUCUUCGGAUGAGUAAAGCGGCGAACGGGUGAGUAAUGCAUGGGAAUCUGCCUGGUAGUGGGGGACAACGUCUCGAAAGGGACGCUAAUACCGCAUACGCCCUACGGGGGAAAGGGGGGGAUCUUCGGACCUCUCGCUAUCAGAUGAGCCCAUGUCAGAUUAGCUAGUUGGUGAGGUAAAGGCUCACCAAGGCGACGAUCUGUAACUGGUCUGAGAGGAUGAUCAGUCACACUGGAACUGAGACACGGUCCAGACUCCUACGGGAGGCAGCAGUGGGGGAAUAUUGGACGAAUGGGGGCAACCCUGAUCCAGCCAUGCCGCGUGUGUGAAGAAGGCCCUAGGGUUGUAAAGCACUUUCAGUGGGGAGAAAGGUUAUUCACUAAUACGUGAGUAGAUUGAUGUUACCACAGAAGAAGCACCGGCUAACUCCGU